rnacentral:rRNA from 1 species
UACGUAGGGUGCAGGCGUUAAUCGGAAUUACUGGGCGUAAAGCGUGCGCAGGCGGCUUCGCAAGUCAGACGUGAAAUCCCCGGGCUUAACCUGGGAAUGGCGUUUGAAACUACGGAGCUGGAGUAUGGCAGAGGGGGGUGGAAUUCCACGUGUAGCGGUGAAAUGCGCAGAUAUCAGGAGGAACACCGGUGGCGAAGGCGGGUCUCUGGGCCGGUACUGACGCUGAGGCGCGAAAGCGUGGGGAGCAAACAGG